GGUGUAGUGCAUAAGCAUAAAAAUUGCAUGAGGUUAAAGUUGUCAGCUUUGUGGUGCCUAAACAAACAUUCCAUGAGAUUACACGUUGCGCAGUAGAGUAAACAUAAUUGUACGCAUCGCAAUUAAUUGCAUAGCACAUAUAAUUAACCGCUUCACUAUAAAGCUUCGCUUCACGUAUAUUCCAACAUGUGUGUUGAACCUGUUCUUCCUCUACAUUUUCUUAAUGAUGUGUCCAGGACUUUUGACAGCGCAAAUGCGCAUAGAUAAGUGCUAUAGGAACAGUACACACAAGAAAACCAAGGAAAACGUAGAAAGAAAGAAACAGAAAAUGCAGCGUUAUGCUUAUUGAUCUCUACGGACACAUUAUGCACAGAGCGCUCGAUGGCGCCACAAAUCCAUCCUUGGUAGAAUUUCGUGAAUGUCAUUAGUAGCAGUGAUAUAAGUGCGAAUUCGAGCGCCUAUGAUCGGCAGGACUGCAGCCGUCGGAGCUCAUGUGCAUAAUGUGCAAUCAACGCUCGUUGUAGCCAUACAAGGCUGCAUUAUUUAAAUGAUACAGUACAUCACUAUACGUUCCGAACGUGCGCGUAUGGUUAAGAGUCCAUGGAGGCCACGGAGACGACGCUGAAAGUGUCGCCUGUUUAUUUGAUUUUCCACGCGCAGCUGUUUGGCGUGCCAAGGAAUUGGCCCCGCUUUACAAAAUUUCGGCAGCUGUUGGCGGCGCAGGGGUAGGAAAAAGGAUGCAGCGACUUCUAUACCCGGCUUUUGAAUGACUCUGCGCGGAUUCGACCACACCAAGCCGAAGAUGUCCCCGAUGGUUUUUGCGUAAGCCUUGAAAUUGCGCCAUCUGGCUGCGGCUGUUCUCAAUUCUUCUCAUAUUCCUUAUUAUCCUCCUCACUCCUUGCAUAAAGACAAACGGGGCUGAUAAUGAUGAAUGCGGCGCGGUUGGUAGUGGUAAUUAUGAUGAUGAUGAUGAUGAUGUCUCAAAGACAAUGGCACAUACCCGAUAAGAGAGACUGCACAACAAUCAGGCGGCGUAGGUGAAAUGCGUUACUAUUGGCAUUAAAGUUCCACAAAUUCAAAUGACGAAAACGGGACACGAGAGUGCGUGAUUGAGCAGCCACGCCUUGCUUUAGUUAUGCGGCGACUUCGUUUACCAAAUGCUUUUUUUUUCUCUUCUUUCUUUCCUUUUAUUUAUUUCUUUUAUUUUUUAUUAUUUUUUUAAUUAUUUUUUUUUUUGAGACCAGCAGUAACUUAAUAUCAGAGGGAUACGAUAUUCACUGCUCCUUGCGGCAGUGACGUAAUGACAGCUUCGUUUCUAGGGCUGUUUUCGGCCUAUAAUGUGUUGACUUCAGGCAGCGCUUGGCAACGCUUUGAGCCCAGUGCCGAUAUCGAACGCUUCGGACAACAUGAAUGGAAUGCAUGAGCACUUGCACCUGCUAUACACCCAGCUUCGUAUUUGUACGGUGAUAAAACACACGCAAAGUGCAAUAUAUCGAACAACUUGCACACGGCAGGGUGAUUAGUGCCCUUAUCAGGACCCACCUUAUUGAGUAGGGGUUGGAACACAGCGGAUGUGCGAGAUAGAAUUGCUCGUUUAAUAAAAUGUCACAUGCGAUAAGGAUGAUAAACAGUGAUAAUGAAAUAAGAUAAGGAAGUGGAGCGGUGGAGAGGGGUGCAGGUGAGUGAUGGAAAUGGGACGAAUGACCAUAUCCGCUUGUACAAUAACGAGCAAGGUGUUAGGAGGAGGGCAACGGCUGAGUCACCACGCGUUACGUCGAUUUGCACGCCGUCCGUAGAACACAGGAUGUACGCAGGCCGGGGCCGCGAGCUCGAGAUACGCCAGAGCGCGUAGUAUAAUACACCCCGUGGCCGGCGUCGCAUUCACGCUCGACGGUCGUCGCGGUGGAGGAAGCCCGGCCGUCAAGUUGGCACGUCGCUUUCGGAACGCGAGCGGGUCGGGCCUCCCCCCCUCUUCUUGUUCCGGCAAUACGACACAGCCGGGGACGACUGUGACCAGCCUCUUCAAAAACGAUGGAAGCGAACAGCUAGGGGGGAAUGGCUGGGGUAGUGAAACUUAACGAAAAAAAAAUGAUAGGAAGAAAGGAAAAGAAAGCAGGGAGAAAGGAGACGAAAAACGAAGAGGAAAAGGAAAACCAAGCGACACGAAGGCGAAAGUUAAAGCACGACGAACAGCUUA